UGCCAUACCCCUUCCAGGUUAGCCCGCUUCCAUCUUAGACUGCAUCAUCACUUACCACCAGGUGAGAUUACCAAGUUAACUCUAUCUGAAUUAAAAAAAGAUUUAAUU